rnacentral:rRNA from 1 species
UACAGAGGUCCCGAGCGUUGUUCGGAUUCACUGGGCGUAAAGGGUGCGUAGGUGGCAGGGUAAGUUUGAUGUGAAAUCUCCGGGCUUAACCCGGAAACUGCAUUGAAUACUAUCCUGCUUGAGGGUUGGAGGGGGGACUGGAAUUCUCGGUGUAGCAGUGAAAUGCGUAGAUAUCGAGAGGAACACCAGUGGCGAAGGCGGGUCUCUGGACCGAUACUGACGCUGAGGAGCGAAAGCGUGGGGAGCGAACAGG